rnacentral:rRNA from 1 species
UGCAGUCGAGCGGAACGAUCCCAGCUUGCUGGGAGGCGUCGAGCGGCGGACGGGUGAGUAAUGCAUAGGAAUCUGCCCGGUAGUGGGGGAUAACUUGAGGAAACUCAAGCUAAUACCGCAUACGCCCUACGGGGGAAAGCAGGGGCUCUUCGGACCUUGCGCUAUCGGAUGAGCUUAUGUCGGAUUAGCUAGUUGGUGAGGUAACGGCUUACCAAGGCGACGAUCCGUAGCUGGUCUGAGAGGAUGAUCAGCCACAUCGGGACUGAGACACGGCCCGAACUCCUACGGGAGGCAGCAGUGGGGAAUAUUGGACAAUGGGCGAAAGCCUGAUCCAGCCAUGCCGCGUGUGUGAAGAAGGCCCUCGGGUUGUAAAGCACUUUCAGUGAGGAAGAAGGCUUGUCGGUUAAUACCCGGCAGGAAAGACAUCACUCACAGAAGAAGCCCCGGCUAACUCCGUGCCAGCAGCCGCGGUAAUACGGAGGGGGCAAGCGUUAAUCGGAAUUACUGGGCGUAAAGCGUGCGUAGGCGGCUUGGUAAGCCGGUUGUGAAAGCCCCGGGCUCAACCUGGGAAUGGCAUCCGGAACUGUCAGGCUAGAGUGCAGGAGAGGAAGGUAGAAUUCCCGGUGUAGCGGUGAAAUGCGUAGAGAUCGGGAGGAAUACCAGUGGCGAAGGCGGCCUUCUGGACUGACACUGACGCUGAGGUACGAAAGCGUGGGUAGCAAACAGGAUUAGAUACCCUGGUAGUCCACGCCGUAAACGAUGUCGACUAGCCGUUGGGGUCCUUGAGACCUUUGUGGCGCAGUUAACGCACUAAGUCGACCGCCUGGGGAGUACGGCCGCAAGGUUAAAACUCAAAUGAAUUGACGGGGGCCCGCACAAGCGGUGGAGCAUGUGGUUUAAUUCGAUGCAACGCGAGAAUCUUUACCUACUC